rnacentral:lncRNA from 1 species
CUACCUGAAUAUCCCUUAGAAACCCCGAGCACGUCCCGUGCUACCCCCCUAACCAAGCUAGCUGUCGCUGACCACAUAGCGUCCGCUUCCCCAUAACUUCUCCAAGCUUCGCCCUCUUCUAACCUCCUUUCCAUCUCCUGAGCUUUCUCCUUGGACAAAACUCCCCAUCUAAUCCUCGGUUGACCCCGGGCGCCCCUCCUCUUCUUCUUCACCCAGAGAUCAANNNN